rnacentral:lncRNA from 1 species
AUGGAAGGGGUAGAAGAGAAACUUGAGUCUGGACAAGGAAAAACAGCUACCUGACGGUUCUUUUCUAGAUUCUGUACGCCUAUUUUCUUGGAGGUACAUUUAAUUCAAUGGUUUUCAUUUUUUAUUGUUUGUAUUCUUGUUAUAGUUUUAUCAAUUUAUUUAAGAUGCACAGAAGUUAAUGAAGCCAAAAUUUUUAAACGUUAAUCACUGAAGUAAUUUUCCGAGACCAGACAUUUUGGUGUUUUCAAGGUUAACAAGACUGGUUUUAGUACCCUUGGUUUAGAAAAGCGUGAAGUGCUCUGAGGCGUUUUACGUUUAGGCCCUGAAAUUUGAUGCAUUGGUAGCUUCUCUUCCGUUUUCCGAAGGAGGUGAGGAAGCUCAGCUGAAAAAAAAUUGAAGAACUUCAGGCUGAAAAUGAUCUUGUUGGUCAAGAACUUUAAAAGCAACUUGAGGCUG